rnacentral:rRNA from 1 species
UACGGAGGGUGCAAGCGUUGCUCGGAAUUAUUGGGCGUAAAGGGCAGGUAGGUGGUCUCAUUUGUCUGGGGUGAAAUCCUUGAGCUUAACUCAAGAAGUGCCUCGGAAACGGUGAGACUAGAGUUUUGGAGAGGGUCGUGGUAUUCCCGGUGUAGCGGUGAAAUGCGUAGAGAUCGGGAGGAACACCAGAGGCGAAAGCGGCGACCUGGACAAUGACUGACACUCAACUGCGAAAGCGUGGGGAGCAAACAGG